rnacentral:tRNA from 1 species
AGGGGAGUCGUCCAAUUGGUAGGGCACCGGUCUCCAAAACCGGCUGUUGGGAGUUCGAGUCUCUUCUCCCCUG